rnacentral:rRNA from 1 species
UACGUAGGGGGCAAGCGUUGUCCGGAAUCAUUGGGCGUAAAGCGCGUGUAGGCGGUCCGGUAAGUCCGCUGUGAAAGUCGGGGGCUCAACCCUCGGAUGCCGGUGGAUACUGUCGGGCUCGAGUCCGGAAGAGGAGUGUGGAAUUCCUGGUGUAGCGGUGAAAUGCGCAGAUAUCAGGAGGAACACCAAUGGCGAAGGCAGCACUCUGGGACGUGACUGACGCUGAGACGCGAAAGCGUGGGGAGCAAACAGG